AAGAAAAGAAAAGAAAGAUCUAGAGGCUUCUCAUAGAAGCCAUCACCUAAGAUAGAUAUUUAAUAGGAGAAAAGAAAGAAAAGAAAAAAAAAACGGGGGCGGAUGGGAGAGAAGAGGAAAAAGAAAAGAACAGAGCAUAGAAGAGGAAAGGAAAGAACUCAUCGACUAUAUGGAAGACUGAAGGAAGCACCAAUGAAAUUACUAUUUGAGUCUUAAAUUAGGAUGUAUAGCUUAGUAUAAGGGAAAAGGGAACUUAGAGAAGAUGGAUUGAAGAUUAAUUGAUCAAGAGUAUUAAAGAAAUUAGGGUUCUUAAGGUAAAGAGGAAUUUGGGGACAAAGCUUGGAAUUGGAAAAACUAGAAGCAAAAAGAAGAACCUGAGGAUUAGUAUCAUCAUCUCCUAGAAUCAAGAGCCCUGUCUCCCAUCCUCAAUAACGACAAGAGCUACCGAAAGCAUGAAAGUGUCUGGUCAUUAGGGUCUCUGCUCACCCCUGCUUGAAUUUCUCAUCAAUUGGAGAGUUUACAUGGUCGUGAGUUGCUUUAUUAGGGAAAAUCAAUUUGAUGAAUGUGGCAUCAUCUAUUGUCUUUCACGAAUGGACUGUGAAAAGGUCAUUGAAAAGUUACAGGAUCAUUGUAGCUUUUCUCACAGUACUAGAAAAGUUUUCUAAUGUAGUUAUUGGGUGGUUGCCCAUGUAUGAAUUGAAGCUUGCCCUAUUCAUAUUCAUGUGGUAUCCCAAAACUAAGGCCUAGAGGCGGUCGAGGUGGAGGUCCUGCCUUGCUGAAUCGUGGCGUUGGAAAAAAAUCUCUUUUUAAAGCAGUCACAACAGUCACAGGAGGAUUCACUUUUAGCUCGAGAGCAGUCACAACAGUCAUAGGAGGAUUCGCGAUUGCUCCAAGAGUGGUUCCAGAAAUUCAUGGAGUCUUUUACACAAGGUCAUUCGCAUCUACCUCCUUAUCGACCUCAUCGUUCGAGUUAGGAUUAACAUUUGUGUCCACCUACUUGAUUAUUUAUCAUAUUAUUUUGAAAAUUUGAUUAUAACUUUUAGUUUAAAGUAAAUGUUCUAAUACUAUUUAGUAAUUAUUUCAAUAUAUUUUGAUGCAAAAGAUAAGUAGUGUGAUUCUUGUGAACGCAAUCAAAAAGGUUUUUCAUCAAA